rnacentral:rRNA from 1 species
CCAAUAGCGUAUAUUAAAGUUGCUGCAGUUAAAAAGCUCGUAGUUGAAUUUCGGGAUCAAUAUGUCGGUCGUGCCUCGGUACGUACUGGCUUAUUGGUUUCUCCUUUCUGAAGAACCAUGAUGUCAUUUAUUUGGUGUCGUGGGAAAUCAGGACUGUUACUUUGAAAAAAUUAGAGUGUUUAAAGCAGGCUCACGCUUGAAUACAUUAGCAUGGAAUAAUGAAAUCGGAAGUUUGAUUCUAUUUUGUUGGUUUCUAGGAUCGACGUAAUGAUUAAUAGGGAUAGUUGGGGGCAUUAGUAUUCAAUUGUCAGAGGUGAAAUUCUUGGAUUUAUUGAAGACUAACUACUGCGAAAGCAUUUGCCAAGGAUGUUUUCAUUAAUCAAGAACGAAAGUUAGGGGAUCGAAGACGAUCAGAUACCGUCGUAGUCUUAACCAUAAACUAUGCCGACUAGGGAUCGGAUGAUGUUAAUUUUUUAAUGACUCAUUCGGCGCCUUACG